AUGUUUUGGAUGGUUCUGUUUCUUGAGCGGCUGCUCCCGUCCACGGCCUCCUUGAUCUCAGGAUCUGCUCCUUCCCCACGUCUGCCCACGAGGACAAGGAAGCACAGCGGUGGCCACUAUCACCGCCAGAAGGACCGUCCAUUAAGGCAGGAUGGUGUACAAGUUCCUCUUUUUUUUCUAAGCUCAGGUUCCUCUUUCUUGCAUGAGUUAUUCUUAAGUAGGAUUUACAUUAGUUGGCGCAAUCUGAUUAACUUGAAUUUUUUUAUGGUGGCCACUAUAAUUUUUGUGAGUUUUUGUUGUUCGCCCGUUGCAACGCACGGGCACUUUUACUAG
rnacentral:rRNA from 1 species